GCCUGAUGGGCCCCGUUCAAAGCCCAACUUGGAGGAGCCCCUGACGUGGCGAAGGAUGAAGGCGCGGGAGUCAAAACGACGGUGCGCCGUCGUCGUGCCGUGGUUUUACCCGAUCGAACCUCAAAUCCCUCUGCGAUUUUGCACUGGCAGUACAUCGAAUCAAGUGCAUCGAUCUUGAAGAAGAAGAAGAAGAAGAAAAUGGCGAUGAUCAUGAAAGGAGAGCCGCUGGUUGCGAAGCUCGCAGCGCUGGCCAAGUACGUGGUUCUUCCUGGUGCCAUGGCGGCUGCUGUCAUCUACUCGCCUCCCAACUACGCUUCCUCCUCCAACAAGGACGACAAAUCCCCUAAAUAAUCCCCUUCUCUUUGCUGGUGGAUGGGGCGUGCAUCCCGUGGUUGAUCUUUGGAAGAUGGAGGUAUGCUGUACUUCUGGCGGACGGCUCAGUAUCUUUUACCUGCAGGUGGUUCGGGCCAUCAUGCAGACUUUUGAUGUUCUGUCAUACUUUGCUUUACAUUUCUGUGAAAUGUGGCACUUAAUAAUUCAGAUGGCUUGCGAUCACCAUGAAUUGCAUAGACAUUCCGGAUAUUGUGUAGGUGUCCAAUUUCUUAGUUCUGUUUCUUGUUGCUCAA